AUUGAACGCUGGCGGCAGGCCUAACACAUGCAAGUCGAACGGUAACAGGAAACAGCUUGCUGUUUCGCUGACGAGUGGCGGACGGGUGAGUAAUGUCUGGGAAACUGCCUGAUGGAGGGGGAUAACUACUGGAAACGGUAGCUAAUACCGCAUAACGUCGCAAGACCAAAGAGGGGGACCUUCGGGCCUCUUGCCAUCGGAUGUGCCCAGAUGGGAUUAGCUAGUAGGUGGGGUAACGGCUCACCUAGGCGACGAUCCCUAGCUGGUCUGAGAGGAUGACAAGCCACACUGGAACUGAGACACGGUCCAGACUCCUACGGGAGGCAGCAGUGGGGAAUAUUGCACAAUGGGCGCAAGCCUGAUGCAGCCAUGCCGCGUGUAUGAAGAAGGCCUUCGGGUUGUAAAGUACUUUCAGCGGGGAGGAAGGGAGUAAAGUUAAUACCUUUGCUCAUUGACGUUACCCGCAGAAGAAGCACCGGCUAACUCCGU
rnacentral:rRNA from 1 species